rnacentral:rRNA from 1 species
UACGUAGGGUGCAAGCGUUGUCCGGAAUUAUUGGGCGUAAAGAGCUCGUAGGCGGUUUGUCGCGUCUGCUGUGAAAAUCCGAGGCUCAACCUCGGGCCUGCAGUGGGUACGGGCAGACUAGAGUGCGGUAGGGGAGAUUGGAAUUCCUGGUGUAGCGGUGGAAUGCGCAGAUAUCAGGAGGAACACCAAUGGCGAAGGCAGAUCUCUGGGCCGUAACUGACGCUGAGGAGCGAAAGCAUGGGGAGCGAACAGG